UGUCCUGUUUAGGCUGGUGAAGAUCUUCAUAAUAUGAUCGCUCUGGAUUUCUUGGAACAGGGAUCGCAUAGCUUCAAAAACAGAGGUUUUCCUUCACCGACUUCAAUGGCAGUAGACGGUGGUCAGAAUGUUGCUGUCGUUGACGAUAAAGCUUCAACAUUCCAACCUCCUUUCACUGCAACUAAGAAAAAUAAUAUUCACUGCAACAGGAGCUUCAACCUUCUAAUACCAUAUUUACGCAAAAAAAUAUUCUGCUAUCAUUCUACAAAAUUUGGGACAAAAAGGCUUGGGUCAUCAACAUUCUUCAAAAUUAAAUUUUGGCUUAUGUGAGUUUUACUUGUCCUGUUAUCUUUUGCUAUUGCUUUUUUUUUAUUCUUUUUACUGUUAUUAAUGAUAUGAGUAUAAUAGAAAUGUGUCAUAUAAAUAGGAUUUGUUCUGAAUAAUAUUUGGGCAUAACUAUGGUUUGACCAUUUCACAUCUUUUGAUUGUCUCUCAAUUUUAUUGAUUAACAACAUCAAUUUACCUAAAACCAGCAUUUUGGCUCUGCACUGCCAUAACUACAAGCUGAAAACAAAAACAACUACCCAAACCCAACAAUACCAUGAAAUCUCAAGACUUGCUACAAAUGAAGUGAAGCUCAUAUUUAUUUUAUUAGUAUAAGAAUUAAUUAUUAUAAAUGACCAAUGAACUCUUAAGAUGAGUCAAACAUCUUUAUAUCAAUAAACAUUUUUGAAACUAAAAUUUCAAAGCAGACUCACAAUCUCUUACCAAAUUUUUUAACAUUUUCAGAAAUUUUCUGAUAAAUGGGAGUUGAGGAGGAGAGAGAAAAGGUAUUGGGAAGCUAAUUUUGACAAUUUAAUAUCCCUACUAUAUUUCAACCAUUCAGACCAAUCAUCACUAUUAUUCAAACACUAAAAUUCACUAAACUGUACAAACAACAGAAUCUAAAUAUGUACCACAUGAGUGUCUAAUUGAAAUUAAUUAAGAAAAAAGCUACUUUAAAUGUUACCAUAAAACAUACUAUAAUACACUAAACUAAACUCUAAUCAAUACAACAAAUUAAACUACGAGCAUACCUACAUUCUGCUCCAACCAUAUACAUGAACACCUCUUGCAAGAGCACACUGAGGAAGUACAAAACCUACUGUGAAUGCUUUCAAUACCUUUGAUUGCAAGAUCAGUAUUAUUAAAAAAUUAUCAACACUAUAUUGAAAUAACAAUA